GCCGGGCAUGGUGGUGCGUGCCUAUAAUCCCAGCUACUGGGGGGCUGAGGCAGGAGGAUCACUUGAACCCAGGAGGCGGAGGUUGCAGUGAGCUGAGAUCGUGCCACUGCACUCCAGCCUGGGCAACAAAGCGAGAUUCUGUCUCAA
rnacentral:SRP_RNA from 1 species